rnacentral:lncRNA from 1 species
UUUUUUUUCGUUUGAAAAACAUAAUCGUUCCUUGGCAUUAGCGGAGUUCAUCACCACGAGGUGGUUCGGCGUGACGUGAACUCUAACCAUACCUCAAGAGAUACCUUACGCGCCUCUCCUACCGAGGUACAUAUAUAACCGGAUUAUGUGCCCCUUUAAUAGGCUAGUCCACAGAACCCGUCCACUGCAGCAAGCUAAACCCACCAUACAAUAAAAUUUUGACAGUAUGACAUGACUAAUAUUAUACUACCCAGCCUAUAAAUGUAAAACAGAACAAUUCAUACAAUUCACAAACCACAACUCCAGCCAGUCAUGCCAACACAUUAUCAUAAGCCAUCAAUUAGAACCAGAAAUUACAACACAUCAAGUGGUCUCCAGUUACUCUAUUUUCAAAGCCAUCGUUCAAUUUCAAGACAAUUUAUAAAAUCUUUUCAUUUAAACACAUUUUGUUUAUAAAACCAAAAAAUUAACCAUUGAAACUCAUUUUUCAUAAAAUUCACAAAAUCGGAUAAAAAGACCACUUUAGAUAAUUAAAAUGAUGAUAAGGUUACUCACUAUUUCUAGAGUCGAAUUUCUAGAGUACUCUGACUACCGAUCCUCGGGUACAAUUUCUUUGCCCUUAGAGGAGGAUUCACCACCUAGACAUGAUGCAAAAUCGAGAAACCUACUACAUUGGUACUAAAUCGAAAUUAAACUAAUUUAGACUACUAAUGCAUGAUAUGGAAUGCAAAAUGCACGGGUAACCAUCUAAACUCGAUAUUGGCCUAAUUCGUCUUAUCACUUGAUUAAUUGGCCAACGCAUCCAAUUUAGCUCCGAAUUGCUCCAUUUCUUUUCCAAUACCUUAAUUCAUUAAACAUAAGUCAAAUAACCUAAAAUUUGACAAAACCAUCUUCACUUUUCUUCUUAGAAUUUUCGUUCAGUAAUGGUGCAUUAACACCGUGAUUUUUCUUACUACUUUUCCACACCAUAAUUCAUCAUUUUCUAACCAAUUCUCCAAAAAUAAAAAUCAAAUUCAUCCUCACUCCAUACAAGGUAGGUUCGACCAUUGAUGGGUGAUGGGAAAACUGAAUUCUUUUCUUAUUGUUUUGCUUCUAGACAUGGUAAACUAACUAAAAACACUAACAUAACUUGAAGUCAAAUCAAUCCAACAUCAUUCUCUCUCCAUACCCAUUCGGCUAGCCAUGAAUUCACCAUGAAAACAUGAAAUUUAACCAUGAAAAAUAAGGAGAAAUGCUUAAGGAAAAUAGAUUUCAAGUUUAAAUUGAGAAAUCCUACCUUUUUCUCUUGUUUUCCUUGAUUUUUCACACUUUUUCUUUGAAUUUUUCCACCUAGGGUUCUUGUUCUUUCUUUUCUUCCUUUGUUCUUCUUUGGUUCUUGUUUUGG